UCGAGUUUAACUCCAUCUCCCAAGAAGCCUGCAUAGCCGCCAAAAAACGGAAACGGAAAAAAAAUACUACGGCAAAUUUCUAGUUAAAGAGUAUUUCUAUCUCAGCAAGUCGAAAUUCCUUGAGUUUCUAAGCGACGGCAAUUGGCUGAGGCAAAAAUUUGUGACGUGAGUCCGAGCCCCGCGCUUAUCAAGAAACAUCAUCCUAUCAGGAUUCUGAGUUCUAAGCUUCAAUAUCAAAGCCAACACAACCAUUUCACCGCUCCAUCAGUCAGUUCGCUUGGGUCGAACGUACUGUAAGUAAAACACCAUGAGUUCGCCGAUGAAAACACAGGUCGUACGAUCUCAAACGCAAGGAUACAAAAAUGAUCUCUUGAAGCGGUACAAGUCAACGAAACCAUGCCCUAAUAGGGCCAAAUAUCAAAACAUAAAAAAAUAAUGUCAUCAUCCGCUAAUUACAGCAAUCAAUUGAUAUGUAACCAAAUGUAGGGCCACUAAGUAUGCCGAUAGUCAAUGUAUUAGCCAUAUCUUUUAGCAUUUAGUAAACUUUACUUAAACCAUCACAAACCAGGGACAAUGCAUCUAAAUAGGCAAUUUAGUUCUUAAGAUCAACUACAAUUAAAUAACAUUCACUGUAAGACUCGGAAUCCGAACAAUUAGGGCUCAAAGAAAGACAACCAAUUGAUAUCGCUCGCACUUAAAGUUUUCAUAAGUCUCGCUGCAAGAGCUAAACAUUGGCACGAUCCGCUUGAUCCGGGGCUUGUGAUCCGCUCUAAACGCUUCGAUUCCAACAAAAUUAUCCGGGAAAUCUAUAAGAUAUGGGUGUCCGAACUUGUUGAUCGCGUGCGUGGAAAAACUGCAUUAAAAUGGAGGCCAGGGUCCGGACCUUUGCCGUAACCGGGUACUACGAGCCGUGCGUCAAGCGGCAGUCGCCCCUCGCGUCGGUUGGGCGGGUGGUGGGUAACGAUUUACCGUUACACGUUGGG
rnacentral:lncRNA from 1 species